rnacentral:rRNA from 1 species
UUAAAUUGAAGAGUUUGAUCAUGGCUCAGAUUGAACGCUGGCGGCAGGCCUAACACAUGCAAGUCGAACGGUAACAGGAAGCAGCUUGCUGCUUCGCUGACGAGUGGCGGACGGGUGAGUAAUGUCUGGGAAACUGCCUGAUGGAGGGGGAUAACUACUGGAAACGGUAGCUAAUACCGCAUAACGUCGCAAGACCAAAGAGGGGGACCUUCGGGCCUCUUGCCAUCGGAUGUGCCCAGAUGGGAUUAGCUAGUAGGUGGGGUAACGGCUCACCUAGGCGACGAUCCCUAGCUGGUCUGAGAGGAUGACCAGCCACACUGGAACUGAGACACGGUCCAGACUCCUACGGGAGGCAGCAGUGGGGAAUAUUGCACAAUGGGCGCAAGCCUGAUGCAGCCAUGCCGCGUGUAUGAAGAAGGCCUUCGGGUUGUAAAGUACUUUCA